rnacentral:rRNA from 1 species
CACGUAGGGCGCAAGCGUUGUCCGGAAUUAUUGGGCGUAAAGAGCUCGUAGGCGGUCUGUUGCGUCCGCUGUGAAAACUCGGGGCUUAACCCCGAGCCUGCAGUGGAUACGGGCAGACUAGAGGUAGGUAGGGGAGAAUGGAAUUCCCGGUGUAGCGGUGAAAUGCGCAGAUAUCGGGAGGAACACCGGUGGCGAAGGCGGUUCUCUGGGCCUUACCUGACGCUGAGGAGCGAGAGCGUGGGGAGCGAACAGG